rnacentral:rRNA from 1 species
AUUGAACGCUGGCGGCAGGCCUAACACAUGCAAGUCGAGCGGAUGAAGGGAGCUUGCUCCUGGAUUCGGCGGCGGACGGGUGAGUAAUGCCUAGGAAUCUGCCUGGUAGUGGGGGAUAACGUCCGGAAACGGGCGCUAAUACCGCAUACGUCCUGAGGGAGAAAGUGGGGGAUCUUCGGACCUCACGCUAUCAGAUGAGCCUAGGUCGGAUUAGCUAGUUGGUGGGGUAAAGGCCUACCAAGGCGACGAUCCGUAACUGGUCUGAGAGGAUGAUCAGUCACACUGGAACUGAGACACGGUCCAGACUCCUACGGGAGGCAGCAGUGGGGAAUAUUGGACGAUGGGCGAAAGCCUGAUCCAGCCAUGCCGCGUGUGUGAAGAAGGUCUUCGGAUUGUAAAGCACUUUAAGUUGGGAGGAAGGGCAGUAAGUUAAUACCUUGCUGUUUUGACGUUACCAACAGAAUAAGCACCGGCUAACUUCGUG